rnacentral:tRNA from 1 species
GCCGGAUUAGCUCAGUUAGUAGAGCAGCGCACUUGUAAUGCGAAGGUCGUCAGUUCGAUUCCGACAUCCGGCACCA